UAGUAUUAAUAGUUAUGGUCUUUAAAUUAGAAGAAUUUGGCGGUAAUUUAGUCUGUUCAGAGGAACCUGCCCUAUAAUCGAUAAUCCACGAUGAAUUUUACUUUGCCUGGGCUUGUAUAUCUCUGUCAUUGGGUGUCUUAUUAGGGAAUUUUCGUUGAUCUUUAAUGUGGAAGAUGUCAGGUCAAGGUGCAGCUAUGGUGAAGAAGAGGUGGGUUACAUUGAAUGUAUUUAUGAAUAAUCUUAUGGAAAUGGUUUUUGAAAUUGGAUUUGAAAGUAACUUAUAU
rnacentral:rRNA from 1 species